rnacentral:rRNA from 1 species
CGUCUGAAAACCUAGAGAAGGGCUUCUCCUUCGGGAGCAGAGUGACAGGUGGUGCAUGGUUGUCGUCAGCUCGUGUCGUGAGAUGUUGGGUUAAGUCCCGCAACGAGCGCAACCCUUGAUCUUAGUUGCCAUCAUUAAGUUGGGCACUCUAAGGUGACUGCCGGUGACAAACCGGAGGAAGGUGGGGAUGACGUCAAAUCAUCAUGCCCCUUAUGACCUGGGCUACACACGUGCUACAAUGGACGGUACAAAGAGCUGCAAGACCGCGAGGUGGAGCUAAUCUCAUAAAACCGUUCUCAGUUCGGAUUGUAGGCUGCAACUCGCCUACAUGAAGCUGGAAUCGCUAGUAAUCGCGGAUCAGCAUGCCGCGGUGAAUACGUUCCCGGGUCUUGUACACACGCA